AUUGUGAGGUCACAAUAUGAAUAGGGGAAAGGAAAAAGAUAAUUCUCAAUGGGUGAAAAUAAUUUUCUAAAUGCUGCAAAAGCUGAAUAUUUCAAGUAGUUUCUGGUUAUAUCAAAAUGGAAUAGAGAAAGAAAAGCUAAAGAUUAUUUGAUUUAGAAGCAGCCAGAGAGCACCUGGCCCAACAACCAAUGAGAAAUCUUUCGAGCAACGGGAAGGAUUAUGGAAAAGACUACACACUUAUUUUUCACUUGCAAAGAAAACCUAGGCUGGAACUCCAAAUCAAAGAAGUGGACGAAUUUGGAAACUGUAGCUGCCCUCAUUAUAAAGGCACCAUUGUCGUUUACAAAGUACCUAAAGGAAAGAUAGUCCCCAACUUGAAUCAAUCUCUCGUAAUUAAUGAAAACCAUUCUCAGUUGCCAAUUUGCAAAUUACCAUUGAAAUUGCCAAAG
rnacentral:sRNA from 1 species